GCUCCCUCCCUUCUUCCCUCCCGCCCGUCACUCCUUCCCCGGCGCACGAUCUGUGGGGAGCCGGGGGCCGCGGCGGCGGCGGCGGCGGCCGCUUUCGGAGCGGGGAAGCCCUGCUUUGCGGGUCUGCGGGCUGUCCGGGCUGGCGUGGCUCAGGGUCUCGCUGCAGUCCGGGAGGAGGAGGUCCUGGUUUGGAGCCCCAGAAGCGCUUUUUCCGGCCCCACCUAGGCCCCCUGAGCCGCGCCCAUAUGGUGGGAGGAGCCCGACGCAGCUCCCCGCCUAGAAGCCGGGAAUUUUCUACGCGGUUGAGUAGCCCCGCCACCUCCUGGCCUUGUGAUCUUGGGCAAAUCCCAUCUUGUCGAGCCUCAGUUUGUUUACUUGCGAAUGAAAAUGUCAUCCUGGGUUAUCGGGAGGAUUGCUUGGAUGAGGGACAGCUUCCGCAGAGCGUUUGGCCUGUAAAAUUCAACAAAUAACAUCGGCUGCUGCUGUUGCUAACAGAGACGGCCGGGGCAGUAGAGAGUCGUGUGGACAGUUGAGAGUGGCUGAGAGGAUCACGUAGAAGAGAACGUGAAAUGCUCAGCACAGUGUCAGCUAGGAAGAGUCGGAGACAUCCUUUUCCAGAGUCCCAGAAUGGAGACUGAAGGGUACUUAGAGACACAAAGAAAUAGAGAAGUCCAGAAUGAUAAAAUAAGGCCACCAUCAAAUGAGAUGGUGGCCGAGGAGUCAGAAGUUGUCCUCAUAUCGGCUCCCCAGGUCCAGGUUCCGCGAGAGCCUUCCGGGCUUCCACCAGAGAGCCUCGAUGAAGACUCUGUCGAAGACCUUGAGACCAUGCCACGAAGGAAUCGUCCCAACGCUGCAGCCUCCAGGCAGAGGUUCAGGAAAUUCCGCUAUGAGGAUGCAGCCGGGCCCAGGGAGGUCCUCCGACAUCUGCAGGAGCUUGCUGGACAGUGGCUGAGACCCGAUAUUCACACAAAGGAGCAGAUUGUGGAGAUGCUGGUGCAGGAGCAGUUCCAGGCUGUCCUGCCCGAGGAGCUCCGAGCUCGGGCCCAGAGAUGUCAGCCCGGGGUCAGAAUCACCGGCUGAGUCCUGCCGCCGGGUCCUUGCUCAGCCUGCGCGUGAGAAGUCACCGGAGGUGCUCGUUGUUGUUGCAAGAGCCAGUCGCGGUCAUGGGGAAAUGUGAGCCUCGGUUUUUUUGAGCUUGGCUUUGACUAGUUGUAAUAAUCCGUCAAAACCCAUGUCUGGACCUCCCUCUGGCUGAGGCAGCUCUAAUUCCGGGGACUGAGCUCCGGAAAGAGCUUCUCUACCCUCCUGUUAGGACAAUCAGCCUGUUGCUUGUUUUUGCUCUGCCGAAUGCCUCCUUUUUUGCACUUUCUGACAUGCUUUAAUAUAUUGUUAUGUAUCCAAAGAGCUAAUCGCUUCAACUUUCAGAAUUCUUGAUUCUUGCUGUGGUGGCAUGAAUGGAAGCUUCUGUAACCCCAUCCAGUAAACUCGUUUGAGACGCCCUUGAAAUAUUAAAGUUUGGUCCUUAA